rnacentral:rRNA from 1 species
AUUGAACGCUGGCGGCAUGCUUUACACAUGCAAGUCGAAUGGUAACAGCACUUCGGUGGCUGACGAGUGGCGAACGGGUGAGUAAUACAUCGGAACGUGCCUAGUAGUGGGGGAUAACUACUCGAAAGAGUAGCUAAUACCGCAUGAGAUCUAAGGAUGAAAGCAGGGGACCUUCGGGCCUUGCGCUACUAGAGCGGCUGAUGGCAGAUUAGGUAGUUGGUGGGAUAAAAGCUUACCAAGCCGACGAUCUGUAGCUGGUCUGAGAGGACGACCAGCCACACUGGGACUGAGACACGGCCCAGACUCCUACGGGAGGCAGCAGUGGGGAAUUUUGGACAAUGGGCGCAAGCCUGAUCCAGCAAUGCCGCGUGCAGGACGAAGGCCUUCGGGUUGUAAACUGCUUUUGUACGGAACGAAAAGCCCUCUUCUAAUACAGGAGGGUCAUGACGGUACCGUAAGAAUAAGCACCGGCUAACUACGUG